GUGAGAUGUUGGGUUAAGUCCCGCAACGAGCGCAACCCUUAUCCCUAGUUGCCAUCAGGUAAAGCUGGGAACUCUGGGGAGACUGCCGGUGAUAAACCGGAGGAAGGCGGGGAUGACGUCAAGUCCUCAUGGCCCUUACAUCCCGGGCUACACACGUGCUACAAUGGCAGGUACAGAGGGCUGCGAAGCCGCGAGGUGGAGCGAAUCCCAGAAAACCUGUCUCAGUCCGGAUUGAAGUCUGCAACUCGACUUCAUGAAGGCGGAAUCGCUAGUAACCGCGAAUCAGCAGGUCGCGGUGAAUACGUUCCCGGGCCUU
rnacentral:rRNA from 1 species